UAGACCCCUGUGUUUAGUACUCCCCUUUCUGUGUCCAUGUGUUCUCAUUUUUCAUCACCCGCCUAUGAGUGAGAAUAUGCGGUGUUUCAUUUUCUGUUCUUGUGUCAGUUUGCUGAGGAUGAUGUUCUCCAGAUUCAUCCAUGUCCCUACAAACGACACAAACUCAUCAUUUCUGAUUGCUUCUUAACUGCCAAAACGGAAGCAAGUGUUCUGAAGCAGCAGUUUCAACUGGACCAAACUUAGUUACUAACAGGACCUGAUAUUUUAUAUAUUUUGCCUCAGGGAAAAUGAAAUUAACAUCCACAUGUUUACAGGGCAUGAGAUAACAACCUGGACUUAACAGUGACGUCUUUAGGUUGGAAUUAUUUACUUGUUUUUUGUUUUCUUAAUCUGAGAAGUUAAGCAGAGAAGCCCAGAGUUAUCGCACCUCUACACUUUCACGUAACAGCUCAUCCUUGCCUUUUCUCCUCAGUUAAGCAAAAGAGAUGCUUCCAAAUAUGUGAACUGAAAAUACCACAAGGGCCAAUUUCUGUGCAAAGUUGAAAAUGGAUCAAGCUACCCCUUCUCCUUCACUCUCCCCACACACCAUUUUGCCAUCUUUCAAAUGCAGCAGAGAGCACAUCCAUCAAUUCGAGAACUGCUGGGCAUCCCAGGAGCACGCUGCAGGUGGCCUCUGACCCUUUUAGAGCAACCGGAUUCCAUUUAGCAAAUGACCUCCUUCUGGAAAUAAAGAAAAAAUAAUAUCCCAGGCCCAGAAGGAUAAAUUAUGUAUUUUACUCAAGAAAAUGCUAAGAACGUUUACUUCAUGCUGUACGUAAGAGAACGUGAUGUAUGGUAUUAUAUUUAUAUAGCCCUCCUUUUUGUUCUGACAGCAUAGUGAUUUUUAUAAUUUGGUAUUCUAUUCUCAUCCAAGAGAAGGAGAGCUCCAGAAAGAAACUCUGCUUUUGCUAGAGCUGCGAAAUUCAGAAGAGGAACUUCAUUAAUGUAACUGUUGGGUUUUACACUUCCUACAUUUUCUACAGAGCUGACCAUUAGAAGAAAAUACUGUCUGCAAGAAAAAGGAACAUCCUCUGGGAAAGAGCAUCAUCUAUAUUUAAGCAAAGUUGUUGAAAACAGCUCUUAGGCAUGUAGGGUCAAAUUCAUUUUGACAAGCAGUUCAUCAGUGCUAAGUGUAGAAUCAGCAUAGAAGGAGGCUUGGUUAACUUUUAAAGGUAGCUUUAUUCUAUUACAAAGUUUGGACUCCAAAGUUAACCAUGUUGGAAACCUGCAGUAUCCUUAGAUGACUGUCAUCUUGUAUGAAUGACUCUGCAGCCUUCUCAUUGGGCCCCUUUAAUCCAGCCUUGGGCCUCCCCAAUUCUGACUGCACACUGCAGACAGAGAAAUUCUUUCAAGACACCAAGCUGAUCAAACCAAUCUUCUGUCAAAAACCCAUAGGAGGCUUCACAAAGGGCUGAGGUUAAUGUCCAUAUUCUUUAGCAUAUUACACCUGUAGCUCCCGAAAGUAUUUUUCUAGUCCUGUCUUUCAUCAUUCAUCACCUUAUUUCUAAUCGCCCCAGCCAAACUAAACAUUGAAGAAGGAAAGUAAGCCCAGAAGAUAAAAAGUUUCAGUGGGCUGACAUAAUCUUCCCUGUACAUUUGGCUUGGUUACUAACCAGUUACCCUUCAAAUCUCAUUUACAAAUCACAAAUUACAGAAAUGUCCUGAUUCUCUUUGAUCAGACUCGACUUGUCUGGGAUGUGCUCUCCAGUCCAUUUUAUGUCUAUUAUUAGCCAUAUUGGGAUUUUUCUUCUUGCUUUCUCUUCUGACUGCAAGUUCCCUUGAGAACAAGAAUUGUAUUCCUUUCACUCAUCAUUAUAUUUUCUGUGCCUGGCACAGAAGAUGGUCAUAGAAUAAGUGAAUGAAGAAAUGAAUGAAUGAAUUCUAGUGGCAGAAGAGUUGAGAAAAUAGAUUGAGAUUACUAGAGUAUUGCAACAUGAAGGAUUGACUGAACAGAAGAAAAAUUACUAUCUCCCUAAUUCAGAUCAAUUCAAGCACCACAGAAUGCAUUUCAUCCACAAUCUUCAGCCUUGGUUUCUUUACUCUGACUCCAAUUCCCAAAAGAUUUCUGACAUGUACAAUCCUACAAUUAGACAUUAAUUGCUGGAUUUAAGACCCUGUCUUCUGUGAAAUGCCCAUGGGAGGUAACACUCCACACAUUAUAAAUACUUCCAAACAUUGGGAAUAGUUCUGAGAAAGAGAGAAUUAUUUCACCUUAUAUCUGAAGGCAGCAGGGAAGACUGAAAGGGUCCUGCUUUCCAAGAGCCAUAAAUGGAAGCUGUAGACAAGGGAAAAAUUAGCUCACAUUCUGAAAAAUGUGUGUUUUUUUCCUACAUGACUAGUCAAGAAUCAUUAAGCUCUAAAAAGAGCAGAUAUUUUAUAAUCUUUUCCUGACUUCCUCUUACACAUCAUCUUCCACUAUUCUAAGAUCAAAUUUUCACUUUUAUGAAAAGAGAUCUGAGGAAAACAUCAAUUACUCAGUUCCACCCAACAUUUCAUGAAAUGAAAAGUCCAUUAUCUCUUGCCUGGAUUCUCAAUUCCUUCAACAAAUACUUACUGAAGACCUGCUCCUUGUCAGGCAUUUCAUCUGGCUAAAAAUUCAGCAGUAAACUUGUUUUCUCCCUCCAAGCCUCUUAGAGGUUAUGCUCUAGUAGAAUUCUUCUGGCAAACAAAGUUGAUGCUGAUUGAAUGAUUAUUGAAUAAAUACCUUAAUAUAUGAUUGAACAAAUAUACUGCUACAAUUCAAGGAUGACCAAAAAUGGAGUAUUCUUGUUUCUCCUCCUGGAUUCUUUAGAAGAGCAUAAUGCCACGCUUAAGAAUUUGGACCUAAGACAAACUUGGGUUUCAGUUCUAGUUCCUCCACUCACUAGCUGGGUGAACUUGAGCAACUUACUUUAUUUCUCUUUCCCAAUAAAACAUAGAUAUAAUUUAAUAGAAAUUUGGCCUCAAAAUUGUUGUGGGCAUUAAAGAACAUACAAGAAAAAAAAAUUCUGGCAAGUGAGAGGAGAAUUCAACAAUAUUAGCUGCCACUUCUUCCUUCUAAGUUUCUUACCUGAAUUGGUAAAAUAAAAGUUGAUUAUAAGUUGUGACUUUUGCUUUUAAUAAGAAGAAACUUAAGUAGUCAUAAGGAAUAAAAUGUUAUUUUCCCAAUGGUUAAAUCUGGUAGUCAAAGCAAACCACAAUGGCUCCUUCUGCCUUUCUGUUGACAGCACCCUAUUAAACAGAAAUGCUCCCAUCAGGGGGUAUAAGACAAAUCUGCCCAAUUUCUGAAGCAUGCCACUUACCUAGCAUGCCUGAUAGGAAUUUACAAUGCUCUAGAAGUAACAAAGAGUGCUUCAAUAUCCUUGGAAGAUGACUGCAUAAGCAGCAAUACAAUUUGUGCUAAAGUGAGAAUUCUGUCUCCAGGAAAGCACAAAAAUAUGUCUGAUACACACAUUCUAGACAUUCCUCCAAUUAAUAAUUAUUUAUCUUAAACCAAAUUCACCCCUUUCUUUAGAAGGAUAUUUGUUUCCUUUACUAAUUUCAGAACU